rnacentral:rRNA from 1 species
UACGUAGGGGGCAAGCGUUGUCCGGAAUCAUUGGGCGUAAAGCGCGCGUAGGCGGCCCGGUCAGUCCGCUCUGAAAGUCCAGGGCUCAACCCUGGAAUGCGGGUGGAUACUGCCGGGCUAGAGUCCGGAAGAGGCGAGUGGAAUUCCUGGUGUAGCGGUGGAAUGCGCAGAUAUCAGGAGGAACACCGAUAGCGAAGGCAGCUCGCUGGGACGUUACUGACGCUGAGACGCGAAAGCGUGGGGAGCAAACAGG